UUGUAUAAGCCGUCUACCAGCAUAUCUUAAGAUGGUAUAUCAGUAUCAACAUGUUAUUCAAAGGCUAUAAGAGUUGGAAGAUACACAACUAGGUUGAGGUUGAUGAGUGCAUUUAAGCAUAAGAAAUGAGAUUUUGGACAAAUAAAAAUGAGCUGCUUGCUUACCCGAUGUGCAUGCUUGCUUCACCAACUUAUUUCCCGUACUACUUGCUUGAGCUACUUCAUAUGUAUCUUAACUAUGAAGUAAGGAUGAGGUAUAUGUUAAAUUCAACGGACUAACAAAGCGAAAACUAGUUAAUUAAACAAGUAGGUGACAAGUAGGUGCAUCACCUACUUGCUUAAAAAGGAAAGGCCAAGAUUUAUUCUCUAAAAAGGGGCUAGAUGAGUGAGUCAUAUGGAGCAUUUUAAAGGCUGAUUUUCCUUCAUUUAUUCCAUUCAUUUUUCAGAGACAAAAACCAAAGAAUAGACCCCUAUAAACUCUUCUCAAAAAUUCCAGACAAACCCUAAGUGAUUUCAAGGGAUUCAAGUGAUUCCAGUGCCAAAAGCCGGACUACUUGCUAGUUUCUCUUUCUCCUUCUUGUAGCUGCAUUGGGGGACUGAUUUGAGAUGAAAAAGGACUAAGUUUCGUAGCUUAUAAUCAGUCCAAGGUUGAAGCACCAUGGGAAGUAUAUAUUGAGUCAUUGACAACAAAGGUAUCUGUUGAGGAAGUUGCAGAAUCUAGUGGUGCGGCACACUUUUAGGGAAGGUAACAAGGUGGCUCACUUUUUGGCUAAGCAAGGAACUCAGCUGUCUUCAUGCAAUCAACUAUCUACUAUGUCUACUCCUCCUCCGCUUAUAUUAAAAAUAAUGGAUGCGGAGAAGGAUGUCUUAUCUACGAAGCUAGUAGUUAUUUCAGUAUGUAAUACUCUAUCCUUAGUAUUAUCAGUUAUGAUUCCAGUGGAAGUACGAGUACCGCUUCGGUGGCUACACAUGCUACUGCUUGGAAUAAUCUACCGCCUUAAUAUAUAAUAUAAAUAUCUUUUCUACCAAAAAAAUAUGCAAAAUAGUUUACAAAAGAACCAAAGGCUCGACAAGUUCUACAAUAGCCUUUAAUAAAUUCCGUUUUUUUCCUAUCGCGAGCAGUGGUGAUAGAUGACAAAGGAAAAAGGAGG